GAAAUUUUGAGAAAAUAACUCGAAAUUUUGAGUUAUGGAUACUUUUUUUUCUUUAGUGGCGAAAACGGGCUUCCAUAUGAGGCUGUUCUGCAAGACAUAGCAAACUUUGCAUGAUCUUAUAAAAGUCUACUGUCUACUGGCUAUGAUAUGACAAAGACACUGACAAAAAAGUAAAAUUAGAGAAACAUGAGUGAGGAGAGACAAGAUGAGAGCAAUGGUACGUGGAGACCACUUGCAAAACUAUCACCUGUUGGAUGUUGUUUUAUUGUUGCUUCUCCAAUGCACAUAUGUGUCUGUGUCGGUUCUCAGUCAUCCAGGUCAGGUAGUCUUGAGAGUUUACAAAAAGACAACUUCCAGUUAUUGUUGUUUAUCAAGUGUUCCCUUUUUUGAGAAGCCUAGAAUAAAUAGACUUUUUAAAAUGAAAGUCGAGCCCUGGUAUUCGCAGGGGUUAGGGACCAAAACCGUGAACACGUGAGACCUCUCUAAAAAUGCUCAAAACUGCCUAUUUUAACAGUUCAAACACAAAAUAUACCUUAAGCUAUCAUCCUAAAACACUUUGCAAAUGCCAGCCAAUAGGGUGUAAGUAGCAUUGUGCCUAUUUCAGCUUCCCAAAGCUGCAUUUUCUUUCCUGGAAGCUUUGUGUUUCGAAUUUCCACAUAAUUUUUAAAGAAAAAAAACAUUUUAUUGCUAUUUUACUGUGUUUACAUUAAUAUUAAUAUUUGAAAAUGAGUAAAUAAUGAUUUUUAUCAUUCAAAAAUUUAUUUAGUCAUAAAAAAUAAAAUGAAAAUAACCAGCAAAUACUUCAGAUAUGCUGUAUGAAAAAAAAUUGCCAAUAGGUGAAUUUCCCGCAAAUAAUUUUUUUCCACAGAAAAAUCAACGAAUAGGCUGUGGUCAACUGUACAUUCAUGAAACGUCACACCUUACGCCCCAGCAGAAUGACUAACAACAGGAAUACGUCCAUGUAAUGCUGCAGCCGUCAGAGGAUAUGGUAUACCUUUGGUUUUACUCUCGUCCAUCAAAAAACCCGCCAGAGCGGUUUGGACCCCGACAGGUUUAUUUUGGAUCACAAAGAUCAACUUGCCACAACUUGCCAAAGUCCGUCUUAGAUGUCUCAUCCAAGCGGAUGUUGAACAAUACGAGCCCCCGGAGUCAUGCCUUCCACUUGAAGAGCCACUGCUUCCAGUCACCAUGACUCAUGUUUCCACUUACUCACAUACACAGCAUCCAGGUGUAAGUUGUGGAGACAGCAAUUCUAAGCAGAGAUACCCAGACCUGCCUCUCCUCAGCCACUUCCUCCAGCUCUUCUUGGGGGACACCAGGCCAUUCCCAAGAGGCACGAGCCCCCCAGUGUGUCCUGGUCUACCCAGGGGUCUCCUCCCAGGUGGACAUGCCUGAAACAGCUCACCUUCUAGUUGCCCCUGAAGGCAUCGCAGUCAGAUGUAGCGGGCCUACUUUGAGCUCAUUUCCAAGACUAUUACCCACGAUCUUCUUCAGUCAUUAAUCACAGCUCGUGGCCAUCAGUCGAGCAGUAAAUCAACAGCUUUGCUUUCAUGCUCAGCUCUUGGUGCAGCAUCCACUUUAUGAGACCCUCCACCUUUUGGCUGCGAUUCUAAGCAGAGCUGCCGAAAGAGAGCUUCCCCGAGUAGCAACUGAACAGAACACUGGUAAGUAAAGCAGCGAGGCUCUGCAGAUUUUCUGUGCUGCUGUCAAAUAAUAAUUCCCAGCAUUUCUCCGCUGAAUCAGCACAUUUGCAGGCAUGAUUCACCCUCCCGUCCUCCUUGGUGCUUGUUUGUACCGAGAACCCUCACGAACGGAAUGUGGACAACUUUGUGCAAAUUGGAGCACGUCACACACGUCUGUGUUUUGGAAAUGAACUUUAGUGCCUCGUGUACAUCUCGAGUAAGAAAACUUGGUCAGGCACAGAUCGGAUACCAAACAGGAAAAAACACCAACCUUUUAAUACCAAUGCAAAUACUCUGAAUGUGCUAUUGAGCAAUGCAGUCAACCUAAACAAUAAAAAGUGUUAUUAAGGAGCUUUCAGCAUCUCUUUGCAUGGUACAAAAUGAGCAGCAGGAAAGUGACUAAGCAUGUCGCUCUCUCUGGAGGCUGAAAUAAAACAGAGAAGCAAAUGAGACAAAAACAUACAGCUUGACCACCGACUGUUUUAAUUCCUCUGACGUAAAUGAAUGACACUCAUGGGAAACAUCUUACAAAACUUCCUCAUGCACCAGUUACAAAAGUACAAACUGAAACAAGACUCCCUCUUUCUUUCACAACACAGCUUUGGUUGAAGCUGGGUUAUUUUCAGGUUAGACCGCCAUUAUUUUCCCUUAUAAUGUUUUCCAGCACAUCACAACAAAGACAGUCACGAGGUGCGAACACGUGAUAGCGAGUGCCGUUUAGUACACGGAGCAGCUUGGAAACCAUAUGAUUUACUGUAAAUGUUAAGACACCCUGGAAUGUUACACGACAAGAAUAAGGAAGCGGACCAGGAAUUCCUUUCAUAUUCAGCCGGGCUGUCAUAUCAGAGCUUUCUGUCCAAUUAUGGCCAUUUUAUGAAUUUCAGAUAGUGAAUAAAAGACCAACAAAAAAAAUGAGUCAGAUGAUGAAAGUCAGACGGUUUAAAAACCUGUGUCAGCUCCGUCUUUCCUCACAUCUACACAGGCAGAAACUUUAACGACCCACGCGGCCACAACAGGACCAUUUACGUGAAACUCCAGGUCGAAAUAAACCCGUGUUUUUUCUUUAACCCCACUGAUGUCAACAAUCCAUUUACAGCACAAAUCACAAACUGUUUCAUUGUAGUUGUUGCUUCAUAUUCGUCUGUGUGCCUCACAGCCUGUUGCACCAGCUGUGUUUAGGUUUGCACAUUUCCUGCAAUUUCUUUUAGCGAUUUUGCAAUUAGCUACAGUCAUGGUAACGAGAAAGCACACCCUCUAUCACUUCUUAAGUUUUAAAUA